rnacentral:rRNA from 1 species
GAGUUUGAUCAUGGCUCAAAUUGAACGCUGGCGGCAUGCCUUACACAUGCAAGUCGGACGGCAGCACGGGAGCAAUCCUGGUGGCGAGUGGCGAACGGGUGAGUAAUACAUCGGAACGUGUCCUGGAGUGGGGGAUAGCCCGGCGAAAGCCGGAUUAAUACCGCAUACGCUCUGAGGAGGAAAGCGGGGGAUCUUUCGGGACCUCGCGCUCAAGGGGCGGCCGAUGGCAGAUUAGCUAGUUGGUGGGGUAAAGGCCUACCAAGGCGACGAUCUGUAGCUGGUCUGAGAGGACGACCAGCCACACUGGGACUGAGACACGGCCCAGACUCCUACGGGAGGCAGCAGUGGGGAAUUUUGGACAAUGGGCGCAAGCCUGAUCCAGCAAUGCCGCGUGUGUGAAGAAGGCCUUCGGGUUGUAAAGCACUUUUGUCCGGAAAGAAAACCCCGGUCCUAAUACGGCGGGGGGAUGACGGUACCGGAAGAAUAAGCACCGGCUAACUACGUGCCAGCAGCCGCGGUAAUACGUAGGGUGCAAGCGUUAAUCGGAAUUACUGGGCGUAAAGCGUGCGCAGGCGGUCCGUUAAGACAGAUGUGAAAUCCCCGGGCUUAACCUGGGAACUGCAUUUGUGACUGGCGGACUCGAGUAUGGCAGAGGGGGGUAGAAUUCCACGUGUAGCAGUGAAAUGCGUAGAGAUGUGGAGGAAUACCGAUGGCGAAGGCAGCCCCCUGGGCCAAUACUGACGCUCAUGCACGAAAGCGUGGGGAGCAAACAGGAUUAGAUACCCUGUAGUCCACGCCCUAAACGAUGUCAACUGGUUGUCGGGCCUUCAUUGGCUUGGUAACGAAGCUAACGCGUGAAGUUGACCAAUCACUA